GAAAUGCAGUAAGGUGUUGGCUAUGUAGUUGGUCAAGAACUUGAUUUAAAUGUUCGCUAUGCUGAUGGGAACGUAGUGCCUGCAUCUCAUUAACCAGCAAGUUUGAAAUUGCCCUUACUACAAGUAAGGUUAAAGGAAAAACAAAGGAGAAUGCUUGUUUAAAGAAAUGAAGCUAGAUUGACAGCUGUGAAGAUUUUAGAAGAGGAGAAGAAAUGUUGGAAUCCAUUCUUGUCUUCUGGCCAACGAUCACAAAGCCUUCUGACUUCUCUGUAAUCCUGUGGCAAGAAAAUACAGCUCCCUAAGGCUGCACAAGCAUCAGGAGUUGGAUUUCCAGAAAUGAGGUACCUGCAAUUUCCAUGACCACCAAUGUAACUUCCCUAAGGGAACAUCCAUCAGCCACGCAGAAGUGAAUCACACACACCCCAGCCUCACACUUGAUACAGUCAAUCUCAGGGACGACUUGCAAAAGAAACAUCACAGCCAUCCUGAAAAUCCUACUUCACUGGAGUCUUCCCAUUGUGCAACCCACCCAUGGCUUUGGCUUGUGUUGUGCAGCUCGUGAGAAAAAACUCUCCAAGUCUUUGUCUCUGCAAGUUCUCUAAACUGUACUGUUAAAAAGAGAUUAAAUGGAAUUGGCUAAACCCUAUCCUGGUUUGGAAAUGUCUUGGAAAUAAAAUCUGAAAGAGUGCACCAAAUCAGAGAUGCUCAAGGCAAGCAAUUUAGGAGCAGCAACUGAACUCAUAAAUAUAUGUAUGUCUCACAAGUAACUGCAAAUUAAUACAACUUUGUGGAAGCAGCUCAAUUAAGGCUUUAGUUGAUGAAGAAGUGUUUUUAAGACUCUUGCAAGGCCAACCAUUCUGAGUUCUACAAUUUGAAUUGAUGAACUCAUCAGCUCAGCUGGAAAACAUCAACUUGGAAAUGCAUUUGAAGCAAAUUGCAUUAACACACAAAUUUAAUUUAAAGGAAGCUCUUUAUGGGUUUUAAAACUACUACUUAAACUCUAUAAAUUGCUCCAUGUAAACUGCUAUGACAAAAAUGGCAAAGAAAUGCUUUAGGAAUGGUAACCACUAAUUUAUAUUUUAUGCUAAAUUUGAGUCUACAUGGUUCAUGAAUGAACAAAUGGUAAAAUAAGAUUUCAGAAAGCACACAGUUAUUUGAAGAGAAGAACAUUUAAAAGGAUAGAAAAGUUAAAUUUAUAUAUAUAUCCUUGGUUUAUCACAGCUAAUAAAAUCCUGUAGAGCAUAGCUUUAUUUGAGCUUUGAUGUGKUGCUUUUAGCAGUCACAGAAGUUAAGUCAGUAAUUUAGUCAGGGGCAUGCUCUACCCCAGCCUCUGGGGCAGAGGGGAAGACUACACAGAGCCCAACCAUAUAUUUCAGCUAGAAGUGUUGUAUUUUAUUUAAAUUUGCAUCUAGUAAUUUGGGGAAACUGGGCAUACCACGCCAUAAAGCUACUAGAGAGCAUCCAAAGGUGGGCUACAAAGAUGGAGAAAAGCCUUGAGGGGAGGUCUUAUGAGUAGCAGCUGAGGUCACCUGGUCUGCUCAGCCUGGAGAAGAGGAGACUGAGGGGAGACCUCACUGCAGUUACAGCUUCCUCAUGAGAGGAGCAGAGGGGCAGGCACUGAUCUCAUGUCUGUGGUGACCAGAGACAGGACCCGAGGGAAUAGCCUGAAGUUGUGUUGGGGAGGUUUAAGUUGGAUAUUAGAAAAAUGUUCUUCCCCUAGAGGGUGGCUGGGCACAGGAGCAGGCUCUCCAGGGAAGUGGUCACAGAGAGCAGAGUUCAAGGAGUGUUUGGACAAUACUCUCAGGCAUAUGGUCCAGGGCAGGAAGUGGAAUCUAUGAUCCUUGUGCGUCCCUUCCAGCUCAGAAUAUUCUAUGAUUCCAUGGUCAUCCUAUCCUCCAGGAAAAGAAUGUAAAGAUUUCAUGACUGCUAUAAGCUAAGAAACUCUGCUCUAUCCAAAGGCUCAUUACCCAGUUGAGUAUAUGUAUUUCUCUUAUUUCUUUUUGGUAAAUUAAUUGAGAAUAAUCAUAAUUGAGCAUUUUGUAAAAAAAAAAAAAAAAAAAAAAAAAAAAAAAAAAAAAAAAAAAAAAAAAAAAAAAAAAAAAAAGAAAGAAAAGUAUUUAUGGGUACUUUCAGAACACGGUCUUGUACAAGGAAAUACCCAUGAAUUGCAGGGCCUUACGAAUUCCUAUUCCGGCUCAGCCUCGCCGCUUCUCGCCUGCAGGCCCCCCCAGCCACAGGCAUUUGCACCUUUCCAGCCGCGGCGGAACCCGCACGGGGCACGGACACCUCGCCCGCCCGCACGCUGCCACCUGGUGGCUGCAGGGGCGGCACAAGAGCUGGCACAGCAUCCUCAGCCCUGCCUUCCAAAGCAUUUGGGCCAAGUUUUAAAGCUUUACAACGACGAGGAGAGUGGAGAAUGCAUUUGAGUAAGCAUACAGCAUUUAUGCUCAAGUGAGAGCAAGAGAGACACAGAAGCAGUAAAAGUUGAAGGAAGUAUUAUUGAUAUAUAAUGCAGCUUUUCAAGAGCACUAACCCUUACCUGGAAUGUGGUGCACUAGAACUUGAUUUCAAUCAUUCACUUACCAGACCACAGAAAAAUCUGUACUCUGCUUUGGUUUACGUUAUCCAACCAGCUAACAUAUUUUUCUGAUGUUCCUUGUGGUGGUAACUUCAAACUGAUAUCAGAGCAAACUUCAAACUCUGAUAUCAGAGCAAAUUCAAGAGAAAAGCCUCUUCACACUCUGUUCUUCAAAAAAGAUUUUAGGCUUCAAUGCUCUGGGUAGAGUGUUGUACCUCUUCAGCUCAAACCACCUCGUUGCUGGAGGCCUUACUACUUUCUGCUGAAGGUUUUUUGUUUGGUUGCUUGCUUGUUUUAAAGAUUACAACUUUAAAACUUACAGGUGGCUUCGAGGGUCAAAAAGCAAGCCUGAGGACAGAGACAUCAGUGCUAAAUAGUUCAGAGUAUGUUUUAUGCCAGAAAUACCAUUCCAUAUCUCAAUUUGCAACUACAAUAGCAACAAAAAAUUCUUCAAGGUGAAUAUAAUAUGCAUACAAGCCAAAUGUUCAACUAAUUUCAAUAAAUUACAUAUAAGCCAAUUAAUUAUCUUGAAGCCACACUGUCCCUGAUGCCAUUAUACCAUGCAUUAAAUAUGGAUUUAACAUUUCAGAUGAAAGUAUUUCUUUAGCAGACAACCUUAUUUAUGUGUCAAUUUUAAGUUAGCUUUUGAGGGAUUUCAAGGAUAUUCAGUCUUGGGUGGCAGGUUUGAAGAUUAUUCUUGAAAAGCUGUCCACAAUCUACAUGUGUUUUUCAAAUUAUUAAUUGGUAAAAAGCUCUGUUUGUAGAUCUUGAAGUCUGCAGAUUAUGUCCAUUUUUCUUACCUGAAACAAGCCAGGACACUGCAUAAGAAAUGAAGAAUAUCAAUAAUGACACAAUUUCAAUUUUAAAAAAGUUAACAGGGCCCAAUCCUUAACUUCAGUAAGACUGCAUCACCUAAAGAGGAUUCAAAACCAUGGAGCACAGAAUAUAUCAGAUGUCUGAUUUUCUUGUUUCCAUACAGUUAUUCUAUAUUAUUUUAAAUCAAAAGGUUUUGAGUUUUCCCUUCCUCCAAAA